rnacentral:rRNA from 1 species
ACGGAAGGCAGCAGUGGGGAAUAUUGGGCAAUGGGCGCAAGCCUGACCCAGCAAUGCCGCGUGAAGGAAGAAGGCUUUCGGGUUGUAAACUUCUUUUAGGUGGGACGACAAUGACGGUACCACUUGAAUAAGCUCCGGCUAACUACGUGCCAGCAGCCGCGGUAAUACGUAGGGAGCAAGCGUUAUCCGGAUUUACUGGGUGUAAAGGGCGCGUAGGCGGGAUAGCAAGUCAGAUGUGAAAUCUAUGGGCUCAACCCAUAAACUGCACUUGAGACUGUUAUUCUUGAGUGUCGGAGAGGUAGAUGGAAUUCCUAGUGUAGCGGUGAAAUGCGUAGAUAUUAGGAGGAACACCAGUGGCGAAGGCGAUCUACUGGACGAUAACUGACGCUGAGGCGCGAAAGCGUGGGGAGCAAACAGGAUUAGAUACCCUGGUA